rnacentral:lncRNA from 1 species
UUUUUUGUCGCCGUAAAAACAACAUGGUGCUUGUCAUGGUGAAGUUUGAUGUAACCCCAUGUUUUCUGACAUGAGCCCAACCUGAAGAAGAUGGAGCAAAGGCAACAUGUAUUAUACAGAAAAUGUAAAUCAAUAUAAGCCAUUUGAUAAGCAGAAUAAUUAUUGGCAGGGCUUAUUUUUACCAACUUAGCAUCAGUUAUCAAAUAAUUGGGGGGGGGGUAAAAUUAUGUAUACAGACAACACAGUAUUUAUAACAACAAUAAUUGUUCACCUGUAUAAAAACCACCCUGCUAGCCACUAAUAGGUCUUAAAAAAAUACCCCACAUCCAUAAAUGCAUGACUUCAGCUGGCCUCUACAUGUACAUGUAUGUAAAUAAUAUCUGUAUUCUAAUAUUCUAAUUUCUGUUGAUACAUUUGUAAAUCAAGAUAUAUGUAGGUUGUCACUUACUUUAAAAGUUAACAAUUUUUAUUCUUUGAUAUAACUUUAAUAUCCACAUUCAUACCUACACAAUUUAGUCCUUAUAACUACGAUGUCUUGCAAGUAUAUUUUUAUUUUUUUUCUGCCAGGAUGAAGAUGUUUUUUAAUAAUUAUUUUGACUACAUUCAAUACCCAUAGAUUUAUUUUAACAUCAGCUAGUGGGCCCACACUUAUGAAAAUUUCUGGAUCUGCCACUGAUUAUCAUAUUUGUACUUAAAGUCUACCAUGUUGUACAGUUUGUCCAGAAAGAGUCUUCAACAAUUUUUUCCAAUUAAGUUGGUUCAGCAGGGGAUGCAAGUACGAAAGCCUGGAUGGGGGGUGUGUGGGGGUAUGUAAACAUUUAAUUUUCACCCCUUUUCUCUAUUCUUCAAAAAAUUAACACCUUUUUUCUCUAAUCUUCAUUUUUUUUGCCCGUUAUUCUCUAAUCUUCAUUUUUUAAGGGCAUUAUUCUUUAAUCAUUUAACCCUAUCCAAACCCUCAAGUACAACCGACAAAACAAAGUAAGUAAAGUAAAAGUACUCGCAUAUCAUUCUGUUUUCUAGCAAGGACUAGAGAGUGAAGUGUUUAGAAAGCGACAAAUUAAAUAUGAUAGUAAUAAAUUGUUAAAUGAUAGUAGAUGCAUAACUAAAUCAACACUUAUAUCUUUCUUAGAUUCACCAUAGUUUGUUUUAAAGUAAAUCUUUUUCUGGUACAAAUGUGGUAGUUUAAAUACUUUGUGCACUAAUAUGUGUUAGUUUUUGCAAACAAAUGCACACAAAGAAAGAAUAGAUAGGGACAUAGGCUCAUACAAACAGCUGGUGAAAGUUUUGCCAAUUGAUUUGAAUCUGUUUUUUUAUUAUUCCAUUUAUAAAGGUAGAAAUCAUAGUUAUGUAGUUUAUGUCCAUGUGACAUUAUCAGACACUAAAAAAUUAUUCCCUGAAUUUUUACAAAGGCCAAAUGAUACCAUGAUGGAUUGCUUGACUGUAAGCUGUCAAAAUUAUCUCCCUUUGACCAAAACUUGAAAUUAAAAUUUUUUCAUUAUAGUAAACUUUUGAAAAAAGCAUAUAAAUUUAAAAGAAAGCAGUAUAAACAAAACAUAUUAAAUAAACUUAAAAAUCUGUCUCCUACAGAGAGUAAGCAAUUUUGGAAUAUCUUAAAAGGAAUAAAUAAAAGAGAAACAAACUCAAAUGAUUCACCACUUUUUGAUCUUAAUCUGCUAGCUAAACACUUUAAAACACAAGGAGAACCAGAUAAAAUAGAUGAAAAUUUCAAAAAUUUAAUAUCUAAAAAGGUAGAAAACAGGGAACAAAAAUUAAAUGAAAAACAAACAGAUAACCCUAUUAAAAUAUCUGAAAUAAAAAAUGUUAUAAAAUCACUAAAGCAUGGUAAAAGUACUGGCCCAGACUUAAUUUGUUAUGAAAUAAUAAAACACAGUAGUCAAGUAAUGCUAACUUCAUUAUCAAAAUGCUUUAAUCUAAUAUUAGAUAGUUCAAUUUAUCCAGAUCAGUGGAAUAAAUCAUAUAUAAUACCUAUUUUUAAACACGGAGACUUACUUGAUCCAGCUAAUUAUAGGGGUAUUUCCCUGAUGAAUUGUUUAAGUAAGAUAUUUAAUUCUGUUUUAAAUAACAGGUUGAUAAUAAUUUUUGAAGAUAACAUGAAUCCAGCACAGUUUGGAUUCCGAAAGAAUAAUAGAACUUCAGAUAGUUUGUUUAUUUUAAAAACAGUUAUUAAUAAAUAUAUAAAUAAUAAAAAACCAAAAAUUAUUUGGAUGUUUUGUAGAUUUGAAGAAGGCAUUUGACUCAGUUUGGAGACUAGGCCUUCUAUAUAAAUUGAUCAAGACUGAUAAUAUGAGACCUAAAUUAUAUAAAUUGAUCAAGACUGAUAAUAUGAGACCUAAAUUAUAUAAAGUGUUAAAAAAUAUGUAUGAAUGCACUGAAGCUUCAGUAAAAUAUAAAGAAAACAUAUCUGAUUCAGUAUUUAUAGAUAGAGGCUUGAAACAGGGUGACAGCCUCAGCCCAAAUCUUUUUAAUAUUUAUAUAAAUGACCUUCCUGAAAUUUUUGAUAGUGACUGUAAACCAGUAAAUCUCAAUAACAUGUCAUUAAGUUGUCUUAUGUUUGCCGAUGAUUUACUUUUAUUGUCUGAAAGUGCAGAGGGUUUACAGAAGUCAUUAGAGAAAUUAAGUAACUAUUGUAAAAAAUGGCAGUUGUCAAUCAACAUAAAUAAAACUAAAGUGAUAGUAUUUCAACAAAAAAACAUACCAUACACUAAAGCAGAGUUUACUUUGGAUGGUUAUAAAUUAGAAAAAGUAUUAAAAUAUAAAUAUUUAGGUAAUAUUAUAGAGGCUUCUGGUAAAUUCCAUACAUCACAUAUGGAACUAUCAAAAAAAGGCACAAAAGUUCUAUUCAGUUUGUUUAAAUAUUUGAAUAAUAUAGAAAAUAUACCUAUAAAAUAUACAUAAAAAACUGUUUGAAUCUUUAAUAAAACCUAUUUUAAUGUAUAACUCAGAAAUUUGGUAUAUGGACUACUAUGAAAAAAUAUUAAGAUCUCAGAGUAGAGCAAUAAAUAAUCAUAAAGAUUUUGAUUUACUAACAUCAAUUGAUAAUAGCUUUAUUGAAAAGGUGAAUUUAAAAUUUUGCAAAUUAAUUCUAGGUUUAAGUAAAAAAGCAGUAAACAUUGCAUCAAGGGCAGAGUUAGGACAAUAUCCAAUAGAUGUAUAUGUAAAGGUUCAAGCACUAAAAUAUAUGGCAAGAGUAUCUAACACAGAAAUUAAUCCGUUGUUAUAUGAUGCAUAUUGCACAGCUAAACUGUUGGAUGAAACAGGAACCUAUUCUUGGUAUACCUUUGUAAAAAAUAUAACUCAUGAAAAUAAUUUAAAUAUAUCUGAUAUACAAAAUAUUGACUUUAUAAAAGAAAAAUAUAAAAUGAAUAAACACAUGAAAGAGAUUGUGCAAGAAAACUAUAAAAAGCUGUUCUUUAAAAAAUUAAAUUCUUUAACAGAAAAUAAUAAAUUAUUUAUCUAUAGUAAAUUCAAAAAGAAAUAUGAAACUGAGCCUUAUUUACUUAAAGAGAAUAACUUUGAAAUAAGGAAAAAAUUCACUAAAUUAAGGGUGAGUGACCAUAUUUUGGAAAUUGAAAGGGGUAGAUACAAAAAUAUAAAAAGAGAAGAACGUUUAUGUCAACAUUGUUGUCUAAAUAAAAUAGAUGAUGAAGAGCAUUUUUUAUUUACAUGUACAAAAAUAAAGAUUUGAGAUUUGAAUUUUUGCAAAAAGUUAAAAAUAUCUAUUCCGAUAUAGAUAAUAUGGAUAAUUUGGAUAAAUUGGUUUUAUGUCUUUCUUGUCCGUCAAUUAUGCAGUAUGCUGCUUCAUUUGUUAACCAGGUGCUCCGCAGGGCGCAGCUUUAUACGACCGCAGAGUCGACCUGAACAGUUGGGGCAAGUAUGGACAAAACAUUCAAGCGUGAUACAGCUCUGAAUUUGGUUGUGAUCAAAUUUUUGAAUUACAUGGUUUUUUUUUACACAAAACAAAUGUCAAGAUUUUUACAAAUCAAUUAAAGAUUUCUUCUUCAAACUUUUUAAAUCUAAAAUUAAAUAGUUGACACAGCAUAGGCUUCUGACACAGAAUGAAUGUGGUCUAAUGAACUUAAAAGUUUUUUUUUACAUUUGAGCAAUUCACUAUGCUGUUGAAUAUUAAUUCUCUGAAAAAAAUGUUUGAAGAAAUUUUCUUUUUAUUUAUGAAAUCUGUAAUGAGAAAAAUUUAACCCCCCCCCCUUUUUUCACAUCCCCGUUUCCCUUUUUCCAAAACUGAUAUCAAUUCAAAUUUCUAAUGGAGUUUGCAAAUAACUACUCUUUUAAAUAUAUCAUAAAAUAUUAAAAUGUAAAAUAAAGUGCUUGUUAUCACUGAAUGGUAAAGAUUGGUUGGUAGUAAAAGUGAAUAUACAUUGUUUAUUGUAUAAAACAAUAAAAAAAAACUUCAUCAGCAACAUUUUAUAUUGGCAAAUUUCCAAUGAAGUUAUUUACAUAAAGUUAUUGGCAAAUAAAAAUAGAAAAUGACAUCAUAGUCAUGUCUGGCAAAUGUCCAACAUACAUUAUCUAAAACAUUUUAGAUAAGAUAAGGAAAAAAAGCUUCAUCAGCAACAUUUUAUAUUGGCAAAUUUCCAAUGAAGUUAUUUACAUAAAGUUAUUGGCAAAUAAAAAUAGAAAUAAAAAUAGAAAAUGACAUCAUAGUCAUGUCUGGAAAAUUUCCAACAUAUAUUAUCACUACUAUUCUAUACAAAGAAAGAUAACUCCAAUUGAAAAUUAAUUGCUAUUGCACAAUAUUGUGCAAUUAGAUAUUUCUUGCUAUUGUGCAAUACUGUGCAAUUGAAAAUUUCUUGCUAUUGCACAAUACUUGAUAUGGAAUCCUGAUUUGGACCAACUUGAAAACUGGGCCCAUAAUAAAAAAUCAAAGUACAUAUUUAGAUAAAGCAUAUCAAAUAAGCCCAAGAAUUUAAUUUUUGUUAAAAUCAAACUUAGUUUAAUUUUGCGCCCUUUAGGACCUUAAUGCUAGAUCCAAUUUGAGAAACUGAUCGCAAAAAUUAUAUCAACAUCUUACCAUACACAGUUAGAUUGUGGCAUAUCAAAGAACCCACUUUAUUUCAAUUUUGAUGAAAUCAAACACAAGUAUUAAUUUCUGCGACCCUCCCCAUUAUUGGACCAACUUGCAAAACUAGGCCAAUAAUUAAAAAUCUAAGUACAUUUUUAAAUUCAGCAUAUCAAAGAACCCCAAGGAUUCAAUUUUUGUUAAUAUCAAACUAAGUUUAAUUUUGGACCCUUUGGACCUAAUGUAGACCAAUUUGAAAACGGGACCAAAAAUUAAAAAUCUACAUACAUAGUUAGAUUCAGCAUAUCAAAGAACCCCAAUUAUUCAAUUUUUGAUGAAAUCACACAAAGUUUAAUUUUGGACCCUUUGGCCCCUUAUUCCUAAACUGUUAGGACCAAAACUCCCAAAAUCAAACCCAACCUUCCUUUUAUGGUCAAAAACCUUGUGUUUAAAUUUCAUAGAUUUCUAUUUACUUACACUAAAGUUAUGGUGCAAAAACCAAAAAUAAUGCUUAUUUGGGCCCUUUUUUGGCCCUUAAUUCCUAUUACUGUUGGAACCAAAACUCCCAAAAUCAAUCCCAACCUUCCUUUUGUGGUCAUAAACCUUGUUGUUCAAAAUUUCAUAGUGAAAUGGUAUUUUUAAGGAAAUGCUUUGCAGUUCUUUGGUUAUUAUCUCAUGAAUGACUUAUUAUAGAUAGAAGAUAAACUGUAAUACAUGCAAUAAUGUUCAGCAAAGUAGAGACCACAAAUAGUGCAACAUGACAAAAUUGUCAGUUGACCCUUAAGGAGUAUUGCCCUUAUCAGGUCAAUUCUUUAACAACAUUUUCGUACAAUUUUUUGUAACUUUUCUAAAAAUCUCUUCCCAAAAACGUCUACUUUCGCCAAAUUUACAAACUGCACAAUUAUUCUAUUGUCGGUUUAUAGUUUAAAAAUGUGUCCGAUGACCCAGGCCUACCAAUACUCAAAAUGCCGACAUGGCCCUAUAUAAUUGAGACAUAUGCGUUAAAAUGCCCAGUUUUAUUGCUUAUAUCAUCUUUGAAACACUAAGGACAUUUCAUGGGCAAAUCUAAAUGUCCAUCAGAAUAAAGAUAUUAUUCCCCUCACUAAAUUUCUAGAGUCUUGAAUCGGACAACCUGUUGUUGGCGUUGCUGCCCUAAAAUGGUGAUUUUAACGGAAAUUUUGCAGUCUUGUUGGUUAUUAUCUUGAAUACUCAUUACUACGAUUAGAGAUCAAACUGUAUAACAGCACAUAAUGUUCAGCAAAGUAUAGCAUCUACAAAUAAGUCAGCAUGCGAUUCAAAUUGUACUAGAGACCCCUUAAGGAGUUAUUGCCCUUAUAUAGUCAAUAUUAACAACUUUCGUCAUCGUCUUUUGCAACUUGCUCAUAAAAAUCUUUUCCUAAAUGACGUUGGCCAAAAUCUUAACCAAACCUUGGCCUACAAUCAUAAUACUUAGGGCUAUCUAUUUUUAAAAAAAAAGUGCUCUAAUGACCCUGCCUACCAACGAAGAAUGGCAUCCGACAUUCAGUAAAACACAUUAAAGGUGAGCGACACAGGCUCUGAGAGCCUUCUAGUUUUUUUUGCUUGAAGAUAAAAUUUAUGCUCUAUAAUAACAAAGUUCAGCAUAUAUAAGUCUGUAAAUAAGGGAAAUACACUUGUUGUAUGUUGGUUCGAAUCCAACUGCAGACGAACAAAUGUAAGCUCAGUUAAGUCUUAUGAAGAGCAUUUCUUUUUUUUAUCAUUUGUAUCAACCAAUAGCAAUGAUUUCUUUAAUAGCUUCUUUAAUAAUAAUAUGGAAAAUAACUGGUAUACUUUUUCCUACAGGACUUUUCUGUCUUUUUUAUUUCAAAAAAAGGAAAGAAGCACAAUUUCAUUUAAUUGGCAUGUAUGCCAAAAAACAAUAGAAAGUUAUAAAAUAUACAUACCUGUAACAAAUAUCAUUACUUGAAUAUUCAAAGAAUGCUUUACCAUCUUUGGCUUUCACCUCUGGUAUAGUUUUGAAUAUUCACUAUUAUUUCUAUCAUCAUUUGCUGUUGGUGUUUUAACACUAACAGGAAAAAUAUCAAACCUGACAUUACUUUUAUUCCUGUAAAAACUAAAGUUACUCUCCAUCUGAAUGAGAUAGCUAGCACGAGACUUAUUUAUAGAUUUUUUAAACAAAAUGCAAUAUGAUUAGAAAAACAAAGAUCAUGGACCAAUAUUGAUGGUACGCAUAAAUAUAAAUGCACAGACACGUGCAAGUCAUAUCAAACUUACAGUUGCGAGUUAACUUAAUUUUGCUAUAAAAGGCUUACUUAUUUCUGUUCAGAGAAAAAUUAACUGUAGGUGCUAGCCAUUAAUUUGCCACCUGAGAGUACCCUUGGCAGGGACGAAACAGUAAACCUACAUCUUACAUUAAAGAAAAGAUAUUACUUGUUUAUAUAUUGAUGCAUUGAUAUUUUCAGUAGGUGUUGAUUUUUAUGCCCCACCUACGAUAGUAGAGGGGCAUUAUGUUUUCUGGUCUGUGCGUCCGUUCGUCCGUUCGUUCGUCCGGUUCGUGUCGUCCGUCUGUACCCGCCCUUCAGGUUUAAAGUUUUUGGUCGAGGUAGGUUUUCUGAUGAAAGGUUGAAGUCCAAGUCGCUUCAAACUUGUUACACCAUGUUCGCUCUAUGAUAUGAUUUCUUCUAAUUUUAUGGCCAAUAGCAGAGUGUUUACCCCUACAUUUACGGUUCACUGAUAGAAAACUGGUCUAGUGUCAAAUUUUCAGGUUAAAGUUUUUCGCUUCAGGUUAAAGUUUUUUGGUCAAUGGUAAGUUUUUGAUGAAAGUGAAUUCCAUUAUCAACUUGAAACUUAGUAUACAUUUGUGCCCUAUGAUUAUGAUUCUUUCUAAUUUAAAUGCCAAAUUAGAGUUUGACCCCAAUUUACGUUCACUGAACAUAGAAAAUGAUUUAGGUGCAAAUUUCAGGUUAAAGUUUUUGGCCUUCACGGUUAAAGUGUUUUGCGUCACAGGGUAGUUGCUUUGUGAUUAAGUUGAAGUCGCACAUACAACUUUGAAAUCUUAGCUAUACAUGGCCCCUUAUGAUAUGAUCUUUCUAUUUAUACAUGACCAAAUUAGAGUUUUGACCCAUUUUACGGCUUCACUAACCAUAGGGAAAGGCACUAGGUGCAGAAUGUUCAGGCGUUAAAGUUUUGGCUUGCAGAGUUAAAUGUUUUUGGUUCAGGUUAGUUUUUGAUGAAGUUAAGUCCAAAAUCAACUUGAAACCUUAGCUAGUACUAGUGCCCUAUGAUAUGCAUCUUUCUAAUUUAAAUGCCCUAAAUUAGAGUUCUUGAUCCCCAAUUACGGUUCCACUUGAACACUAGCAAACAUGAAGUGCAAAUUUCAGCUUUAAAGUUUUUGUCAACGGUAGUUUUUGGAUAAAGUAGAAGUCCAAUCAACUUCGAAACUUAGUAUACCUGUUCCCUUUGAUAAGCAUCAAUUCUAAUUUGAAUGCCAAAUUUAGAGAAUUAUAUGUGCGCAACUUUUCAUAAACCAGUCCUUUUAGAACAUAGGAAACAUGAGUAGUGGGACGCUGCGGGCAUCCGUGUACCUUGGACACAUUCUUGUUUAAUAUAUUAUGUAUUUUUGGCUAAAUGAAUUAUCAGAUGCAACUCUUACAUGAGAUGCAUUUAAGUCAAAAAUUAUCUAAAAUGUGUCUUUUUUUCUUCAAAUUCAUUACAACUUUUAACUUUUUGAUUCGGCAAUCCCAAUUGAUUGUUUCAACACAUUUUUUUAUCAUUCACUGUAGACUGUAUAUUGCCAUCUCGUGUAUAAUCAAACCAGGAAGAUUCUUUAACUGCAGAAAUUUGAAGCGUUGAAAUACAAAGAUGGGCAUAUGUUAUUGUUCUAACCCUGAUUUAAAGAACGGUUGCCUAGAUUUUCUUAAGAAUUGUAAGUUUUGCGUACUCUUCAGGUCCGACAUCUAGCGUCUCAUAAUGCAUACUAUGCGCAGCCAAGCCUUGAGAUUGAUUUCGGUCCAAUGUUUAGAAUUUAGGCGCCAAAAAGAGGGCCUUAAAUAAGCAUUUUCAUUUUGUUUUUGCACGAAUAAUCCUUCAGUAUAAAAGGUGAAUAGAAAUUUUGCUAUGAAAAUUUAAACAUAAGUUUCGUUGGACCUCAAAAGAAUAGCGUUGAGAUUGAUUUUUGGCGUUCGGGUCUCCAACUCCUUUCUGAAAAAAGGCCAAAAAGCGGCUCAACUACAUUUUGUAAGUAGUGCAUUUUGGUUUUCGCUCACCAUCACUUGCAGCAUAUUUCUUAAGUAAAUAGAAAUCUAUAAAAUUUAAAACACCCAAGGUUUGUCAUGACCACAAAAGGUAGGUUGGGAUUGAUUUUGUCUGUUUGCGGUCUCAAAGAUUAGGAAUUAGCGGGCCAAAAAGGUGGGCAUAAAUAAGCAUUUUUCUGGGGUUUUCACUUCAAUGUACCUUAGUAUAAAGUACAAUAGAGAAUCUAUGAAAUUUUGAAACCGACAAGGUUCGAUGACCCCAAAAGGAAGCGUUGGGCAUGGAUUUUUGGGGGUUUUGGUCCCAACAGUUUAGGAAUUAAGGGACAAAAAGAGGUCCAAAAAUUAAAACUUCUAUUAAUAUAAUUGAAAUUAUCACGGGUUAUUUGACGUAUGCUGAAUCUAAACAUGCUACUCAGAUUUUUGAUUAUUGCCCAGUUUUCAAGUUGGUCCAAAUUGCGGGUCCAAAUUAAUACUUUGUUUGACUUUCAACAAAAAUUGGAAUUCUUGGUUCUUUGAUUAUGCCGAACUCUAAACACCUUGUACUUAGAUAUUUUCGAUGAUGCGGCCUAGCUUCACAACUGGUAUUACAUUAGGUCCAAAGGCGUCCAAAAUUAAAUGAGUUCGAUUUUACAAAAAAUGCAUUUCUUGGUAAGGGUUUCUUUGAUAUGCCGCACCACUUAAACAGUGUACUUAGAUUUCUCGAUAUAUGGGCCCCGAGUUUUCAAACUGGUCUAAAUCCAGGUCCAAAUUGCAACAAAAAUGAAUAUAUGGAUGAUAUAGUUUGAUUAAUGCCUGAAUCUGAAUCCAUAGUGUAUUAUCAGAUUUUUGAUCAUUGGGGACCGUUUGAUCAAAGGAGAGGUCAGUAAGACUCCUUUUUGGCCCAAAUAUCAGUCGUUUACAAAAUUGUUAAGUAAGCCUAAACUUGUUAUUAUUUAAUGGACAGGUAGAAUGCUUCUGCUUUACUAUAAAUAUUCGGGCUGUUUUGACAAUGACAAUGCACAUAUAUCGGGGUACUGAGGCCCAAUAAGUCCAUGAUAAAUUACUAAAAUAUUGAGAAUUAAUCAAGUUGCUAUUUGAUGAUAAUACAUAACAUAUAAAGGUUGAGGAUGAACACGGAUGCGGCCACUUUCAUUUUUGACAAAAAACAUCUGAAAAGUGACAUUUUUCGGCAUAUUUGGUAGAUUUGUCAUAUUUAAGCUUGAAUCGGAACGUUUUUAAUGAUUAAAUUAGUUAAAAUUUUUCACAUAAAUUAAUUGAAUCAAAUGAAAUAGACACUUAAGUGUUUUAAAAGUGGUCAAAAUCUUUUGUCAGAUGAAUCUGAAAUUUGAGGCCAAAAUCGGUCCUUACCGGACCUACUCCUUUGUCGACAUUGAGGUCUAAAAGUUUCAAAAUGGAACUUAAUUAGAUUUCUUCAAAAAUUGAAUUCUUGGGGUUAUUUGAUAUGCUAAAUCUAAAAAUGUAUUUUGAUUUUGGAUAUUGGACAAUAACAGGUAAAUUUCCAAUUCAAUUUUAGACCACAUUCAUUCUGUGUCAGAAACCUAUUUUGUGUCAACUAUUUAUUCACAAUCCAAAUUCAGAGCUAUAUCAAGCUUGAAUGUUGUGUCAAUACUUGCCCAACUGUUCAGGAUUCGACCUCUGGGGUCUUAUAAAGCUGUGCCUUGCGGAGCAUCUGGUUAAAGUUAUACUUCUUUAUUAUUUUAGCUCCUUAGUCUAGUUUGGACAAAUUUUUUAAAUGUUUAGGAUUAAGAUGACUUUUAAAAUUUGAAGUAAUAUUAAUUUGAGUCAAAUAAGGGUCUUUUAUGCCCCUACUCCUUUGAGAUAUUGAAUAAAGUGUUGACAUUUAAACGGCUGGAUUGACAAACAAUGGCAUACCAUGUAUAUCCCUUAACUUCAUAAAAACCAGAAAUUACAAAGAUAAAAAAAAUUUUUUUAUUAUAUUUUCAGAUCACAAUUAUGUUAACCUGAUCAUAGGAGGUUUAUCUAGAAACAUGAGAAGCAUUACAAGCCUGCAUAGAUUAUACACACAAAUGGAAUAGACUCUCACUUUAAAAGAACUUACAAACAAGACUUAAGAACUCAUAAAAAAAAUGAUUCAUGUUUCAAUGAGUGAAUUGGAGUGAUUCUAAUUGCACAUGAAAAUUUGUGUGCAU